AGCGGCGCACAUGUGAGUAACACUUGGGUAAUCCCCCUCGGAGUGGGGAAUAACACCGGGAAGCCGGUGAUAAUACCGCAUAUGAUUUCAGGGUCCUCGGGCCUUGUAAUCAUAGGAUUUAAUCGCUGUCAGAGUAGCCCGCGCCUGAUGAGCUAGAUGAUGGGGUACAGGCUCACCAUGGCCACGAUCGGUAGCCGGUUUGAGAGGACGGUCGGCCACACAGGAAGUGACACACGGUCCAGACUCGUACGGGAGGCAGCAGUGGGGAAUUUUUGACAAUUGGGGAAACCCUGAUCAAGCAACGCCGAGUGGACCAUGAAGUAUCUCGGUACGUAAAAUCCUUUCGACAGGGAAGAAAGUCAGCUUUCGGGCUGGUUUGACGGUACCUGUAGAAGAAGCCCCGGCUAACUCCGUGCCAGCAGCCGCGGUAAUACGGGGGGGGCAAGCGUUGUUCGGAUUUACUGGGCGUAAAGGGCGCGUAGGCGGUUUGCUAAGUCGGAUGUGAAAACUGGGGGCUCAACCCUCAGCCUGCAUCCGAUACUGGCAGACUAGAGUGCGAGAGGGGAAGGCGGAAUUCCUGGUGUAGCGGUGAAAUGCGUAGAUAUCAGGAGGAACACCGGUGGCGAAGGCGGCCUCCUGGAUCGCAACUGACGCUGAGGCGCGAAAGCUAGGGGAGCAAACAGGAUUAGAUACCCUGGUAGUCCUAGCCGUAAACGAUGGAUACUUGGUGUGGGGGGGAUUGAAACCCUCCGUGCCGAAGCUAACGCGUAA
rnacentral:rRNA from 1 species